rnacentral:rRNA from 1 species
AUUGAACGCUGGCGGCAGGCUUAACACAUGCAAGUCGAGCGGAGAUGAGGUGCUUGCACCUUAUCUUAGCGGCGGGCGGGUGAGUAAUGCUUAGGAAUCUGCCUAUUAGUGGGGGACAACAUUCCGAAAGGAAUGCUAAUACCGCAUACGUCCUACGGGAGAAAGCAGGGGAUCUUCAGACCUUGCGCUAAUAGAUGAGCCUAAGUCGGAUUAGCUAGUUGGUGGGGUAAAGGCCUACCAAGGCGACGAUCUGUAGCGGGUCUGAGAGGAUGAUCCGCCACACUGGACUGAGACACGGCCCAGACUCCUACGGGAGGCAGCAGUGGGGAAUAUUGGACAAUGGGGGAAACCCUGAUCCAGCCAUGCCGCGUGUGUGAAGAAGGCCUUAUGGUUGUAAAGCACUUUAAGCGAGGAGGAGGCUACUGAGACUAAUACUCUUGGAUAGUGGACGUUACUCGCAGAAUAAGCACCGGCUAACUCUGUGCCAGCAGCCGCCGUA